UACGGAGGUGGCAAGCGUUGCUCGGAAUCACUGGGCGUAAAGGGCGCGUAGGCGGGGAGGUAAGUCGGGUGUGAAAUCCCUCGGCCCAACCGAGGAACUGCGCCCGAGACUGCUUCUCUUGAGUCCCGGAGAGGAAGAUGGAAUUCCCGGUGUAGCGGUGAAAUGUGUAGAGAUCGGGAGGAACACCGGUGGCGAAGGCGACUUUCUGGCCUGUUCUUGACGCUGAGGCGCGAAAGCUAGGGGAGCAAACGGG
rnacentral:rRNA from 1 species